rnacentral:rRNA from 1 species
AUUGAACGCUGGCGGCAUGCUUUACACAUGCAAGUCGAACGGUAACAGGUUAAGCUGACGAGUGGCGAACGGGUGAGUAAUGCAUCGGAACGUGCCCGGUCGUGGGGGAUAACGCAGCGAAAGCUGCGCUAAUACCGCAUACGAUCUGAGGAUGAAAGCGGGGGACCGUAAGGCCUCGCGCGAUCGGAGCGGCCGAUGUCAGAUUAGGUAGUUGGUGGGGUAAAGGCUCACCAAGCCGACGAUCUGUAGCUGGUCUGAGAGGACGACCAGCCAACCUGGGACUGAGACACGGCCCAGACUCCUACGGGAGGCAGCAGUGGGGAAUUUUGGACAAUGGGCGCAAGCCUGAUCCAGCAAUGCCGCGUGCAGGAAGAAGGCCUUCGGGUUGUAAACUGCUUUUGUACGGAGCGAAAAGGCUCUCUCUAAUACAGGGGGCUCAUGACGGUACCGUAAGAAUAAGCACCGGCUAACUACGUGCCAGCAGCCGCGGUAAGAC